rnacentral:lncRNA from 1 species
GAAGCGCGGGCGUCUGCCCUCCCGCCGCCCGUUUCGAGGUCGUGGAGAGGAGAGGAAAUGGCCCCGGAGCAACCACGCAGCUGCCUGAUCGUCUGGCCGGACCGCGCCUCAGUAGACUUGGGUCCUGGUCUGAGCAACCGGGCUGGUGCGGGUGUCCUCACUAGGAUAAAGAAUACAGCUCCACUACCAAUACUACCCAAGACCUCACACGCUCUGCGAGCAAACCGGUCUACGGGCUUGUGCCCCCAACCUGGUGGCCUGCACCAGUGAUAGGGCAAUUUGACUCCUAGUCGUGGGGGCUUGUGAUACUUAUCUCUACCUACAGACACCCACUGCCUGUCACUGCACAGUAAACCUUCCUGCUCCACAGGGCUGCCUCCCCACUGGAAUUCCCACCGUGUUCCUGGUUCUGGAAAGUAUGUCCUCCCGGGUGGCCACGAUACCCUCCCUACUACUCCACUUCUUCCUUGCAGUCACAAGCAGCAGAGUGGAAUGGGAGCUCGACACUGACUAGGCCUUUAACAGUCCUAAGUGUAACAGAAGAGCUGCAGCUUUCAAACCAGACAGAGUGAAAGAGGUUUCUCAUUAGCAUCCCUCAACCUCGGGAAGCUUCUCCCAGGUCCCUAAGGCUGACCUAAGAGCCUUUUCCAGCAGCCAGCCUUGCAAUGAUACCCUUCUCCUCCACCUCUGAAGCUUUGAGAUUGGGCCACCGGGUUGGACUAGGAUUGCAGAAGGCCAUUGCUGGUUCUGCACUUUCCUUUGAGCUUAGACGUCACAACUCAUCAUGCAAUUGUGAUUAUUACAGUCCUUUCUGCAGUGCCAGUGUACCCACCAGGCUAGACACUUCAAAAUGGCAGGGCUAUGUCUGUGUGGCUACUACUACCUUGCAGCAAGGCGUGUUGAGCCCUUACAGUACUAUAGAUGUCUUGGCCAGCUGGUUUGUUGUUAUAGCGACAGUGGACUGCAGUGUUCUGCUGAGACAACCGAGAAUUCCUCCAGACAUGACUCAAACAUCCCCCAAGUGACAAAAUUACCUAGAAUUGAUAGCCUCCUCUCCACAGCCUAUCCUGGUGUCCCUGAAAUAAUUGAAUGCACAGCUCUGCUCAGUCUUAG